UACCCCCUUCCCCCCGCCCUUCCACCCUCUUGGGGACUAGUUUGUACGCAUCAGAAGUAGGACAGGAUGGAUGCCUUGCCCAUUUUUGUGCUGAGCUGGUGCAUCCAUUGAUCUUUUAGCUAUUCCAGAAUGGACUGUGAGUAAAAUGAAUUUCCUUUUCUUAGGAAAAAAAAAAAGUGAGAUCCUUCUGGCAGGUGGAUGGCCUAGGGGGCAGAGGCAGGAGGCUGCACUUGGUAAGAUGCAAUAUCAUUUCUGUUGGAGCAGCUUCUGGGGCUGGAAGAGGGAUACCCUUUUACCGCGGCAACUUUCGGGUCUGGGUUCCCUCAGAUGUUGGGUUGCAUGCCAGUAAACUUUAUGUGGCUUCUUCUCAAAGCCUGUCCCCCAAAAUCCUGAGCCAAAAGGCUAAUAUGAAUUUAGUUUGAGAAUGUGGCCUUGAAACACUACCCUGAGCAUCCUUUUAGCUCUGAGAGGAAGCGUGGAGGGUCUCCACAGAAACUUUGCUCCACUGAGUAAAGUCCUUUCUGAGGCCUCUUCCCUCCAGAGUGUCACAGGCUCUAGAAUGUCUGGUUUUCUUGUCUGAUGUGGAAGUCUUUGAUGAUGAAGCCUUCUUUCCCUAGGGGAGCCUCUGGUAGGUCCUAGCAGACUUGACCUCUGUGCCUGCUAAACGUAACUUCUAGGACCCAGCUGUCUUGGACUGAAGUCCCAGGUGUCACAGGCUCAGGGAAUACCACUAGGCCACCCCUCCAGGGGCUGAGCAGCAUUGACUCAUUAGUUGUCAUGGAGACCAUCCUCUUGACCACUAAGGGUCCAUUGGGGGCAUUACAUGGGAAACAACAUACCAAGUUCUAUGAGAAAAUCUGAGAACCUAAGAGAUUGUAUGUGUGAGGUAGAGGGUAUUGUGGUAGCCUGGGCUGCUGAUGGAGGGGAGAGACACUAGUGUCUUUGGUAGGGGUAUAAUUUUAUAACGAGCCAGUCCAGCCAGAGGCAACCCUGGGCUCUCCUGCCCCUUCAACCUCCCAGGUAAUUAAGAGCACAAGUUAAUUUUCUCUCCUUACUUCCCAUGAUGCUCGGCUUCCAAUCUUACUGGAUUGGGAAGGGGAAUAUAGAGACACAGAGGGAGUUUCUGGACAUGUAGAGACCCCACCAGGGAGCUCUCCUCUCCCCUUCUUAAUCCCAGUGUGGACUAAGCCUGCACUUCAGCAGCGACAGUGUAGUCCCAGCCUUGGUUUGGAGCUUGCAGAUGUAACUGACGAUAAUGAUUUUCUCCGUUCGAAGCAGGCUUCCUAUGGCAUUGGCACCCCAGCCAGAACAGUGAGAGAGAAAAAAGGGGAUUAAUAGGAUGGCUUAAAAGCUGAGGGAGUUUUAAUUCUGUUCAGUUCUCUAUUCCAUGUCUGCGCAGCUUCCACAUCUGUGUUUGUUCCCCCUUUUUUCUAGCAGUGGUGGCCUCCCGACCACUGUCCUGCACCCCCCUUCUGGCGGUGGUGGCCUCCCGACCACUGUUGUGCACACUCCCCCUACCCCCCAUUCAUCUUGAUGCUUCUGUAUUGGUUACUGACACAUGGUCUGGUUUUGGGUUUGAAGGGCAAGGGUGGCUUGUGAGCACACCCAGCCGUCAGGCCUGCUCCUGUCAUCUCUGUAUCUCCCUGCCUCCCAGCCCCGUGGGUUUGGAAUCUGACUGGGUGAAGGCGCCACAGGUGUGCUUUUGAAAACAGCAAGGCGUAGCUUGCAAACAAUUAUCUUGGGAAACUGUUUAGCCAUGUAUCCGUUAUCCAGAACGCUGUCAGAGUUUCCUUCAGACUUGGUACCAUGUUGGGAACACCGUCAAGUGAGUGUGUACCGUUCUCAAUUCCGUGGUGCGAGUCCAGGAGUACUGUCUGAGGCCAGCCGAAGUCUCAGGUAUAAAGCCGAAGGGCUCUCUGGUAACGUAGGCUUGCAUCAAUGAUAAGGCUUUUAACCUGGCCCUGAAAGCAAUGUUGCUACUUCUGACAGUGCUUUGAGCAAUGGCUGCCUUGUCAUAGUGACUGUAUAGCUUGACACCUUAGAGGACCCUGUGAAAUUAGAUACGGAAACUGAUUUGGUGGAAGAAAUCUGUUAUGUUACUUUCUGGUCACCCCAGGUUCUGAUUUUACCAGGGGCAAAAAACCAAAACAAAACAAAAACAACAACAAAAAACCCCAAAACACAAAAC